rnacentral:rRNA from 1 species
UCGAACGAAUCCCAGUCCCUCACCAUGCCCUUCGUUGAGCCGCGACCCGCAAGGGGAGCGAGUUUUGCGAAGGUCGUGGUGAGGGGCUGGGGGAAGUGGCGAAAGGGGCAGUAAGGCAUGGGUAACCUACCCUGGGGACUGGGAUAGCCCUCCUAACGGAGGGGUAAUACCGGGCGAUGUGGCCGAGGGGCAUCUCUUGGACACGAAAUGAAUUUCGCCUCGGGAGGGGCUCAUGUAGUAUUAGCUUGUUGGUGGGGUAACGGCCCACCAAGGCCGAGAUGCUUAGCGGGUGUGAGAGCACGACCCGCGCCACUGGCACUGUGACACUGGCCAGACUCCUACGGGAGGCUGCAGUCGAGGAUCUUCGGCAAUGGGCGCAAGCCUGACCGAGCGACGCCGCGUGCGCGAUGAAGGCCUUCGGGUUGUAAAGCGCUGUCGAGGGGGAGAAAAGCCCCAAGGCCUGAUCGACCCCUGGAGGAAGGACGGCCUAAGUUCGUGCCAACACCCGCGGUAAGACGAACCGUCCUAACGUUAUUCGGAUUCACUGGGCUUACAGGGCGCGUAGGCGGUUUACCAAGUCCGGGGUGAAAUCUUUCGGCUCAACCGGCAAAGUGCCUUGGACCCUGGUGAACUUGAGGGAGGUAGGGGCAUGUGGAACUUCCGGUGGAGCGGUGAAAUGCGUUGAUAUCGGAAGGAACGCCGGUGGCGAAAUCGACGUGCUGUCCCUCUUCUGACGCUGUGACGCG